CGACGAUCACACGACCCGACGUUUUUCCACCCUUAUCUUCGCUCGCUUCACCGUCUCAAAAACCUGUAUAGGCACUUUCAUAGCUUGCGCCGCGAAGAUGUCAACGGGGAUGUCGCUUUUUUCUCUCUCCCCCUCCACUCUCUCUCUCUCUCUCUCUUACUCACUCUCUUUCUCUCUCUCCAUCUCUUUGUCAAGAGUGGGGGACGACGCUCGCGAUCGUCGAUACGGGCCUGUGUUUCGACCACGGGAACGGAAACUUUUGCAUCCUGCUCUUUUACUGGAAGUGGAAAGAAGGGGGCAAUGUGCUCGAGAAACUCAUAAACGCAUCCUUCGGGCACGCAAGUCGCGAAGAAUGGGCGCAAUAUCGACCGGAAGUCGCGGAAAUUUUUCCACGAACACGAGCCGCACGCCGGAAAGCGCAUCGACUCGGCAAUGCGGACAAUUGCAUCCCCCCUAAAAGCCAUUCGUGAUGAAAGUCCAGCGUCCAUGGGGGCAAUGGGGUAGCCGGGUGUGGGGGUCGCAUUCCGGCCGAGAUUAAUUCAGAGCGAAGAGGAAUUCAGCGUCUAUCUCGCCGUUUGCGGAACCGUUUUCGAGCAAUUAUUUCAGCAACAUUGCAAAACGAUCACGCCCCGCCUCCCUCUUACUCCCCCCUUCUCACAGAACACCACGUGUUUCGAUUAAGUUGCACUACGUUUCUUCGCGAUUACCAGCCUUUCUUGUCCGUCUUCGGUUCAGUUUCAACUUUCACCUUUUUUCGGAAUGCGUACUUACUACGAAAGUUCUCCACGCGAGUUUCUUAAUUGUCAGUUGCAUCGGAGAUAUUCUUUCCAACUUUUGUAUAUCUUUUUCGGUGGUAUUUGAAAUUUGCCACGUUUAAUAAGCAAAUAGGUAAUAUGACGUCUAUGCGAACGAAAGGAAUUUUAAUUUUUCCAUUACAUCGCGACCUCAAGAUACCCACAGUCAAAGAAGAAAUAUCCAAAUUCAGUAAUAGAUAUAACAUAAGAGUUAACAACCACCAAAACCCACUAGUUACUACCCGUAGUUGUAGGUUAAGGGGUUAAGCGCUAGAUUCAACUAGAAUCAAACACACGAUAAACAUUUAUUAAACACGACAUAGUACCAUGCCAAAAAAAUUUACUUAUAAUUCUCAAUGAGAAUUUUUUUUUAUUAUUUAUUAAUAUUUACAAUCAAUUCUCGCAUUGAGAAUUUUCAGUAAUUUUUUCUGGCGUGGCGCAGUGACAUGGCUAAUUAUUCAUAAUAAGUUAAUACUUAUUAUAGAUAAGUAUAAUUUAUAAGUAAGUGUUAUAGAUAAGUAAAUAUUACUUAAUAUAAAUAUCUAAUUAAAUCUAGUGUUUAAGUCUAACGGGUAGAGUGUCUUCAGCCUGCGGAUCUGGUCCGACGUAUCAAGUAAUCCAGUAAUUAGGGGGUUUCGAUGUUUGGUGACUCUUUUGCUAUAUCUGUCGCUAUAUUUUGCCAUUUCCUCUUUGACUGUGGGUCAAUGAGAAUUGAAUGUAAAAUUCAUCCAAACAAAAAAAAUUCUUCCAUUGGAAUUUUCUAUGUCUCAUUUAAAUACAAUUUUUGAUAUAUAGGUAAUAUAAUUUGAACAUUUUCGUCGAACGUUAUUUUGUAAAAUUGACUUUGGUAUAUUACAUAUCGCGCAUUUUAUAUUACAUAGUAAAAUUAGAAAUUAAAAAGCACUUGUUUUUUGCUAUUUCUUAAUUUAAUUUUAAAAGACGUUUAAAUUUAAAAGACAACCUUCUUGCAAUAUCUAGUUACGGUAAAAAGAAAAUUAUUUUAAAAUGACGAAAUACUUUGACUAUUCGCGUAUCUUGUACCUACUCUUGUACCUCCUGUAUCGUGUACCUCGCAGAUAUAAACGCAACAAAAGAAUCAACUAACGAUACAACCAACUAAAAACACUUACACACACACAUAGACGCGUGUACAUACACACAGAAAUACUUUCCCCCUUCUUUUAGCAUAAAAAGAUUCAUCCGGUCGCUCGUCAGUUUUGCUUUUCAUUAAUUCCAUGCUCGUACGAUUUUCAAUUCAGAUUACUCGCACCGAUCAGACUGCAACGAUCAUUUCCUUUUUCUUCGUACCGCUUGCGUUCAGACGGAAGAUCAAGGCCGGAGUGACACUAUAAUAAGCUGUUUAAUAAUCAAUGCGCAUGGACCAAUAAUUACGAUUCGACGGAGGAGUGGGUAUGCAAAGAAGCACUAGCGCGAACUGGUUUCAGACAAUGACGACUCGGGUACGAUCGCGUUCGAAGAAUAAUGCGAUCCUUCCUCUUCCUCUUUUCUUUACGUACUUUCUCUUUCUUUCGUUCUCUCUGGGCCUCGUUUCGAUACGCUUUCGAUUGUCCCGUAAUUUUGAUAUGCCAGACGAACCGGGAAGGACUGCGCCCCUUUUUUUCUCACGUUCGCUGUUUCUUCCUUUUAUCUGAUCUACGUCGCUGUUAAAUAAGCAGCUGCUUACUCGAAGGUGUAACGUAUCGAAUAGCUAACGAUGAUUCUUCUUGUCAAUGGCAAUUACACAUUUUUUAAUAUCAUCGUUCGCUCGAUUUUACAAAAUCUUCUUCCAUUCGCUUUUAGAUAUACAAACAUUUCCUGCCGGACAAAUAUGUCUUUUUAUUAUCUAUUUUCAAGUUGUGUUUGAAAUUCUUAGUUUUUCUGCUACUAUUCAAGAUUAUUAUUUAGUCUUCGAUAGAUGGAAAUUUCACGAAGAUUGAUACAGCAGCGCUAUCAGGCACCUGUUUCAUAAUUUCGUAAGAAAUACAAAAUAAAAGUAACGACUGAAAAUAUCGAUUCAAUUCAUCCGCAGGCUCUAGAUUCAAAGAUACGUCAAAGGCACUUCUGGAUGUUCCUUCAAAGUAUUUACGAAAAAUUAUCGAACAAAAUCCGUCUAAAUCACGAAGACCUUAUUUAAGAAGGGACAGAAGCACCAAUUUCUAUGUAUAGAAAGCGGUGAUAGAAAUCAAACAUCGAACACAUUAUAUCUUCCUACAAUUUCAUAUUGAAUUUUUGAGAAAGCCUGAUAGAAGAAACGUGCAACAGGACGCCCACGAGUCUUUGCCACGUCCAUAUUCACCUUUCAUUCUUUCCAUUCCCCUCUUCAACCCCAUCGCAUCGAUGAUUCGAGUCUACGUUUGAUCGAGUCCCGUGCAGCAUCCGGCAUCGAAGAAACCGGAAGACGAUGUUCUCUGCCGGCAGAUUCUCCUGGGAACACUCGAGGCUAUCUGUCAAUCGUGGCAGCAGUUCGAUUCAAAGCGAUAUUCGGAUUAAUGGUUCGGAUAGACGGGACGAUCGCGGUACAAUGGCCCCGAUACAAUGAGAGGAAAUAUCCAAGAUAUGCAAAUACCGAUGAUCUUCGGCCGGAAAAAGGGUCCGGGAAGACGGAACGGGGCACACAUGUUCGGCCAUAUUUGCAUACCGGCUGAUUUGCAUGCGGAAAUUUGCAUCGCACCGAAGACGAUCUCGAUCGGAAAGGGAAUUCUUCUGUUUGCCUAUUGGCGUGAAAGGGGUGCGUCGUAGAGAGGAAGGGACGAAGAAGGUGCUUGCAUGUAAGGGGCGAGAAGGAGAGAUAAACGGAAUAAUAUAUUAAGGGCGCAAAACACUGUUAAUGCCUUUGUGUCGCUCGGCUAGGAAUAAUGCCACUUUUUCCCUUUGUGGAAAUCCUAAAUGUAUUUUGAUUCCCGACGCUCAGCCCGUUCUCACCGGGCUGAUUUGAAUUCUCGAGUGGUGGUUUUCGCUCGUCUAUUACUAUCAAUCGGGGCACACACGGAUUCUCCGACCUUUCGACACCGGCUGUCACAUUUCGACUGGGAUUUCUCGAUUGCGGUUUGCGAAUCGUAAGUACUUAUAUCAGGAUUCUUCCUACUGUUGCUCUCAGUCGAUUAAGUGUUUAUUCGUGUUGGUGAAUAUUAAAGUAGAUAUGUAAGAGAAAAUUUUAGUUCGUAAUUUUUAGCAAGACAAAUUAACUACGUUUAACUAUACUUCAAUUUCCUGAGUUACUGCAACUUGGUGCAAUUCGUUCGCGGAUAGCGUUAAAAAAGAGCAAACACGAAAAUUGUAUAUAUUUUUAUGUUUUUAGUAGUAUAAUUAUAGUUAUAUUAUUAUACAUUUAGCAAUAUAGUAAUAGCGUAAACUAUUUACAGUCGAUAUAACUACUUCACUUUUUAUACAGAAAGAUGUUACCUGUCAAUGUUCCUUCCUUCCCAAUUCAAUUUUAGUCAGUCAAGUAUUUUGAAUUUUUAAAUUAAUAUCCAGCAAAGUUUCAAAGGUACAAUCUCGUGCUAUUAUUUUCAUAAUAGCUUUAUUAAACAAUUAAUGGUUGCAAAGCAUAAGCCUUUAUUCUGAACAAACAAUCUUUUUAGCCCUUUAAACUUCGAUCUACUGCAACAAACUCUAGAACGAAUCAAUCUGAUCUACUCAAAAAAAAAAAAAAAAAAAAAAAAAAGAAAAAGAAAGAAGAAAAGAACGUACUCCAUGAAUCAGACGAAAGCUCAGUGAAUGGUAUGUGAUAUAAAACACGUCCUCAAAGAAAGGAUUGGUCUUUCUAUUAACAUCCGAUUGAUCUCUAUGGAAAGGAAAAAAGUCCUCUCGACCCAGAUACGUUCGUAGACGUAUCAGAGUCAUUUCGAGAGCCUUCGUUGGUGAAAAGGAUGGUGGUAGCUCGGACGACGUCCAUUGUGCUCGACGAAGAAGAAGCUGCGUGUGCCAGCCACGGAAAGUGAUAUCUAUUCAAGCUGUUCUUCUUCAUCCACGGGGCGUCCUGGAACUGGAAACGUGAGACGUCGCUGGCUGUAACAAAGGCGACAGGUAGAAACACUUUCGUCGAGGGAAAAAGAUGCGCUCCUUUGGGAAAUCGAACAAUCGGGUUGCCUGUUUUUCGAAAAUCGGAAUGUUUGCCUUCUCGCGUCCAACUAAACUGGUGAACCGUGUUGGGCCGCGCGUACGCAUAUAUACACGUGGAUAUGGUAAUUCACCGGCAUCGCCGGUGAUAUGUAAAUAAGUUAGAUUCGAGUUUUGUUGCGGAGCCACGGGCGGGGGGUGAGCGCGGCCCAGUCUCGAUGGGAACCAUGGUAUAGGAAACGAAAGAACGAGCCAUCCUGGGGGAGAGGAAUGACGAAAAGAACGCGUAAGUGUAAGCGCCUUAGUAGCCGCACACACGAUCCGGACGACCGGAUCCAGAUUUAUUGGCCGUUCGGCGAACAGAGAGGAGAAAAGCUGGCCCGUUCGGUGUGAACGGAAGCCAGGGAUUUUACGAUCUUGAUUCCGAAUCAACUGGCGACUCCGUUUCGUCUUUCUGCUGCCUGAUAAUCUUCUCGGGGCUCGACGACGCGCGCGCGAUCGAAACUGACGUCUCUCGAUCGGAAUUUUUGACUUGGUCUUUCGAGCUUUACUGUAAAAGGUUAACGCGUUAACAGCCACGCGAGAUUUAUGUAUCUUGUCUAUAUAAGAAAUACUUGAAAUAUAGAUAUAUAUUUAUGAUCUCGAUCAUUCUGUAUAUUAUUUUUUAUUUAUAUCACUUGACUCGGGUAUAGCUUAGUCAUGGUUUAGUGACUAAAGUCAUAUGCUAUAUUAAUCAAGUAAAACGAAAAUAACUAAAGAUACCUAAUAAAAAAUAAUAAAUAAUAAGUAAUAAAUACAAAAUAUUGUGCUACGAUAACAGUUAUUAAUUGUAGAAUGGCGCAUUGUUUAUUUUAUAUUUAUAACGUUGUAUAAUUAUUUACGUUGUUUAGAAUUUUUCAGUCGAUGGUAUUCAUCUUAUUUGUGUCAUUCGGAAAUAUUUAGAAAUACCAGUACCACGACCAUCCGUGUGUUAAAUAAGAGAAAUUUAACCAUUGAAGAGCCCUACAAGCUUCUGAAUGUUAGAGAAAUGUUUCAAAAUUAAUUUAUACGAAGCAAUGCGCAUCUCCGUUCAAGGGAGCGUUAAGAUAUCGUGGAGUCCUUUAGCAAAAUUGAAAUACGUUAGUUUACAUAAGUUUUUAGAGUGUACAUGUGCUAACUUUCCAUUUAGUCAUUAACGUUAUCAUAUCAUUUGUAAUGUGGAUUAAUCUUAUGUAAUUGUAUCAUACGUAUGUGUACGUGUUCUUGUAUAAUGUUUUCCGCUUUAAAAACUGUAUUUUCGUUAACUGUACAUAUUUCCUAGAUCUAGAAAACAGUCCUUUAGAUAAUACAACGCGAACACAAUUAUUUUUAAGAUGCAUUUUUACCGUAAAAAAGUUAUAUUUUUUUGGACGAAAUUUUCAUAAUAAAUUGUUUCU